ensembl:misc_RNA Metazoa_SRP Metazoan signal recognition particle RNA
GCCAGGCGUGGUGGCACAUGCCUGUAGUCUCAACUACUAGGGAGGCUGAGGCAGGAGGAUCACCUGAGCCCAGGAGUUCCAGGCUGUAGUGAGCUAUGAUUGUGUCACUGCACUCUAGCCUGGGCAACAGAGCGAGAUCCUGUCUCAA